UAGCCUUGACAUACUACAGAAUUUGACAGAGAUGUUGGAGUGCCUUCGGGAGCUGUAAUACAGGUGCUGCACGGCUGUCGUCAGCUCGUGUCGUGAGAUGUUGGGUUAAGUCCCGCAACGAGCGCAACCCUCGUGACUAGUUACUAACGGUUUGGCCGAGGACUCUAAGGAGACUGCCUUCGUAAGGAGGAGGAAGGUGAGGACGACGUCAAGUCAUCAUGGCCCUUACGGCUAGGGCAACACACGUGCUACAAUGGUUAGGACAAUGAGAAGCGAUACCGCGAGGUGGAGCAAAUCUAUAAACCUAAUCUCAGUUCGGAUAGCAGUCUGCAACUCGACUGCUUGAAGCUGGAAUCACUAGUAAUCGUAAAUCAGCUAUGUUACGGUGAAUACGUUCCCGGGUCU
rnacentral:rRNA from 1 species